AUGGUGGCACGGAGUC
rnacentral:miRNA from 1 species